GACGAACGCUGGCGGCGUGCUUAGCACAUGCAAGUCGAACGGAAAGGCCCUGCUUUUGUGGGGUGCUCGAGUGGCGAACGGGUGAGUAACACGUGAGUAACCUGCCCUUGACUUUGAGAUAACUUCAGGAAACUGGGGCUAAUACCGGAUAGGAGCUCCUGCUGCAUGGUGGGGGUUGGAAAGUUUCGGCGGUUGGGGAUGGACUCGCGGCUUAUCAGCUUGUUGGUGGGGUAGUGGCUUACCAAGGCUUUGACGGGUAGCCGGCCUGAGAGGGUGACCGGCCACAUUGGGACUGAGAUACGGCCCAGACUCCUACGGGAGGCAGCAGUGGGGAAUAUUGCACAAUGGGCGGAAGCCUGAUGCAGCAACGCUGCGUGCGGGAUGACGGCCUUCGGGUUGUAAACCGCUUUCGCCUGUGACGAAGCGUGAGUGACGGUAAUGGGUAAAGAAGCACCGGCUAACUACGUG
rnacentral:rRNA from 1 species